GACAGAGGGUGCAAACGUUGUUCGGAUUUACUGGGCGUAAAGCGCGUGUAGGCGGCUUGGCAAGUUGGAUGUGAAAGCCCACGGCUCAACCGUGGAAGCGCAUCCAAAACUGCUUCGCUCGAGUCUCGGAGAGGAAGGUGGAAUGCUUGGUGUAGAGGUGAAAUUCGUAGAUAUCAAGCAGAACACCUGCGGCGAAGGCGGCCUUCUGGACGAUGACUGACGCUGAGACGCGAAAGCGUGGGAGCAAACAGG
rnacentral:rRNA from 1 species